GUCUAUAUGUCACAAGACUCGUCUUCGGAAGGUUUCUGGUUGGUUUGCCUCUGCGAUUACUCUCCAUGUCGAUCAGAGCAGUGAAAGUCAGCAAUGUUUCCUUGGGUGCAACAGAGCCAGAUAUAAAGGAGUUCUUUUCUUUUUCCGGUGAAAUUGAUUAUGUCGAGUUGCAUAGUGACAAUGAGCGAUCUCAAAUAGCAUAUGUCACCUUCAGAGAUCCACAAGGGGCAGAGACUGCUGUUCUUCUUUCGGGGGCGACUAUAGUUGAUCAGUCAGUCACAAUAGAACUGGAUCCAGGUUACAAGCUGCCUGCUGCUGCUUCAGUCCCCACUACUGCAACAAAGAAUACAAGUGCUUCUGGUGCUGAAUCUGCUAUGCAGAAGGCUGAGGAUAUUGUAAGCACCAUGCUUGCUAAGGGCUUCAUUCUAGGAAAAGAUGCUCUCAACCAAGCAAAGGCUUUUGAUGAGAAGCACCAGUUCACGUCAACUGCCACCUCUAAAGUUGCUUCUUUGGAUCAAAAAAUUGGUUUGAGUCAGAAAAUUAGUGCUGGCACAAUCCUUGUAAAUGACAAAGUGAGGGAAGUGGAUGAGAAGUUUCGAGUUUCUGAGACAACAAAGUCAGCCUUUGCAGCUGCGGAGGAGACAGUCAGUAAUGCUGGAUCUGCAAUCAUGAAGAACCGUUAUGUGUUAACAGGGGCUUCAUGGGUUACUGGUGCAUUCAACAGAGUUGCUAAGGCAGCUGGGGACGUGGGUCAGAAGACAAAAGAGAAGGUUUUGGCUGAGGAGCACCAGAGUCGAAGAGCAGAAGGAUAUACCCAAAUUCAUGAGUUUGACUCUCCAAAUAUGAGUGAGCAAAUGUCCAAGAGCUCGCAUUAACGAGGUUUGGUCUUUUGAUUAGCCAAUGUUCGUGUAGAUAUCUUCAUAGAGAGUU
rnacentral:misc_RNA from 1 species